UUCGCGAGACGCCUCCGUGGUUCACAUGAACCGCUACCAAGUGGAAGUCUAACAUCCAACUCGUCGUCCAAAAUUCCGAGGCAGCCGAGCUGGGUCGUCCUGAGCGAGUGCGCUCCCCGCAGAAGACCUAGUUAGUUGAUGUGUGACAUAGAAAAGGUGAGGGAGGGGACGAUCCACUCAUGGCCUCACCAUACACAGUGUCUUGGUGCGGAUCUCCAAGAUCGAUGGCGGCUGCAGGGGUGUGGCAAUGGCAAACAGUGCCAGCUGUGGGGGAACCUGCGUCCCAACCUCUGACACCUGGUUCUGACCGUGGAGAAAUUUCAGGCGUCCACAGAAGUUCAAGGCCUGGAGAGAAAAAAGUUAGCAGAACGAUCAGCCAGACGAGUUGUCAAGCAAGCAUCGGAAUCGGCAGCAGAAGUUUCUCUCCAGGAAGGAUGAGUUUUCUGGAGGGAUGACUUUUGGGUCGUAGGUUAUCAGGUCGUACCAGAUUUGGAUGAUGCAAGGGUGACUUACUCCUGCCCUCUGCAAUACCAUCCUGCUGGCUGAAAUGCGGAUUGAAAGCAAAGUCAAGUUGCCGUCUGAAAAGAGCUCGAUCGUCUGUGUGGAUCAACUCAAACACGCUCUGAUGGAUGACAUCUGACUGUAACACAGAGUGGUGUAUUAGGUCUCCUCACCUCCACACAUAAAAAGUAAUUUCCCCAGCAAUGUCUGCUGGUUGAGUUUAACUUUGCAAUUAGUUGGCUUUUCUCAUUUGUCUAAUAUCUGCCAUUAAAGAACAGUUAGCGCUGCCUUGACUGAGUUUAAUUUGCUCCGCCACC